rnacentral:rRNA from 1 species
UACGUAGGGUGCAAGCGUUGUCCGGAAUUAUUGGGCGUAAAGAGCUCGUAGGCGGUUAGUCGCGUCUGCUGUGAAAACUCGGGGCUUAACUCCGGGCCUGCAGUGGGUACGGGCUGACUAGAGUGCGGUAGGGGAGACUGGAAUUCCUGGUGUAGCGGUGAAAUGCGCAGAUAUCAGGAGGAACACCGGUGGCGAAGGCGGGUCUCUGGGCCGAUACUGACGCUGAGGAGCGAAAGCGUGGGGAGCAAACAGG